UUGUUCACCUAAGUUCACCAAAGAGGUUUGAGCAUAGAAGGCGAGUGGUGGGUCAUUGUGACCCUUUGUAGGACUGAGAAAGAAAUGUUAUCUUCUAAAGGAGUUACAUGGCUGGUGCCAGAAGAAGAAAAAUGGAAAUUUGUGGCUGAGCAGACAUAGGUUUUCAAUCAGUUGGGUGAAUACCUCAGAGUGUGAUGGCUGGAUAAAAUGAGGAAAAGUAUUUUGAUAAAAGGAACGUGCUAGAAGGAAAACUGAGCGAUCUGGAGAAGACGG